AGAGUUGAUCAUGGCUCAGAACGAACGCUGGCGGCGCGUUUAAGCAUGCAAGUCGAGCGGCAAGGGCCUUCGGGCCCCUAGAGCGGCGGACGGGUGAGUAACACGUGGACAAUCUGCCCCCCGGCCCGGGAUAGCCCAGGGAAACCUGGAUUAAUACCGGAUGAGACGGGACCCGCGAUGGCGGGAUCCGGGAAAGGCGCUGCGGCGCCGCCGGGGGAUGAGUCUGCGUCCCAUUAGCUAGACGGCGGGGUAACGGCCCACCGUGGCGACGAUGGGUAGCCGGCCUGAGAGGGUGGACGGCCACAUUGGAACUGAGACACGGUCCAGACUCCUACGGGAGGCAGCAGCUAAGAAUCUUCCGCAAUGGGCGAAAGCCUGACGGAGCGACGCCGCGUGAACGAAGAAGGCCGUGAGGUUGUAAAGUUCUUUUCGGGAGGGGGAACAACCGUGGCAGGGAAUGGCCGCGGGAUGACGUGAAUCCCGGAAUAAGCCCCGGCUAACUACGUGCCAGCAGCAGC
rnacentral:rRNA from 1 species